UCCGUAGGGUGAACCUGCGGAAGGAUCAUUGUCGUGACCCUGACCAAAACAGACCGUGCACGCGUCAUCUAUCCUGCCGGCGGCGGCAAUGUUCGUCGCUUGGCCAAAGUCCUCGAAACCUCAUCUCCUCGGAGCGGGGUCUCGGGGUAAAAGAACCCACGGCGCGAAGGCGUCAAGGAACACUGUGCCUAACUCGGGGAAGCGUCUGGCUUGCUAGGCGCCCCUCGUGUUGCAAUGCUAUUUAAUCCACACGACUCUCGGCAACGGAUAUCUCGGCUCUCGCAUCGAUGAAGAACGUAGCGAAAUGCGAUACCUGGUGUGAAUUGCAGAAUCCCGCGAACCAUCGAGUCUUUGAACGCAAGUUGCGCCCGAGGCCUCUUGGUUGAGGGCACGCCUGCCUGGGCGUCACGCCAAAUACGCUCCCACCACCUCAUCGGGUAGUAGGAUGCGGCUUGUGGCUCCCCGUCACGCAAGUUACGGUGGGCCGAAGAUGUGGCUGCCGGCGUAUCGUGUCGGACACAGCGCGUGGUGGGCGACCUCGCUUUACUUACCGCAGUGUAUCCGACCCGUAGUCGACGUCAUGGCCUCAAAUGACCCUAUGGACGGAGCGCAUAAUGCUUCGACCGCGACCCCAGGUCAGGCGGGACUACCCGCUGAGUUUAAGCAUAUCAAUAAG
rnacentral:misc_RNA from 1 species